rnacentral:rRNA from 1 species
CGUAGGCGGCUUACCAAGUCAGGCGUGAAAUUCCCGGGCUCAACCUGGGGGCUGCGCUUGAUACUGGUGAGCUUGAAUGCGGGAGAGGAUAGUGGAAUUCCCAGUGUAGAGGUGAAAUUCGUAGAUAUUGGGAAGAACACCGGUGGCGAAGGCGGCUAUCUGGCCCGUAAUUGACGCUGAGGCGCGAAAGCGUGGGGAGCAAACA